rnacentral:tRNA from 3 species
GGGCAGGUAGCUCAGUUGGUACGAGCGUUCGACUGAAACUCGAAAGGUCGGCGGUUCGACCCCGCCCCUGCCCACAA